UAUUCACCUCAUAUUUAUAUUAAUAAUAAUGCUAAUGUUUGCGCCUAGGAUCCAACGCAAGCUGUUCUGUGGCGUUACAUUAUUACCCUGACGGAAUUGUACUUUCAAAGCAGCUAUUAAGCGCUUCGCGCGACCCUAUAGGUCCGUACAUCUGCUUCUCAG